rnacentral:tRNA from 1 species
AAUAAAAUGGCUGAGAUAGGCGAUAGAUUGUAAAUUUAUUAACAAGAUAAUUAUCUUUUUUAUUA